rnacentral:piRNA from 1 species
UAGGCACAUGGUGUUUUUCUGGAAGCUGC